CAGGGGAGGCGGAGGCGCGGCCGCCCCGCAGCGCGGCCCUGGUCCGUGGCUCAGUGCUGCCUUGAAUAUUUUCCAUCUUGUACUUCCCAGCAACAUACCUUAUGAAAAAUACCUGAAGCCUCACAGAUGCAGAACAGGAAGACUUACGUUACUGAAGAGACAGGUGCUGUGACUUUCCCCUGACACACAUGGCAUUUGCCACUUUUACUAAGACGCUGAGUCAGCAAGCUUUUAAAAGCAGCUUUUUAAUUAAUUGACAAUAAUAUAGAAAGUGAUGCUAUUUACAGUUUUCUUUUAAAAUAAGAUUUUUAGGGUACUUUGAAGCAUGAUUUAAACCUGGGUAUGAUAACAGUAUUAAUUCAUCUCACCUCACUUAAGGCUGCUGCAAUGGAGACAUCAAGAUCUAAACUACUUGUUCCUUAACACAGAAAAAUAGGAGCAAUUUUAGGGCACAAAUCAUCUGACCUAUUCUGGGUGCCCACUUUCGGAUGACUUUGACUCAUGCUCUGAAGAUGCUUAAUUCUCCCUCAUGUAUGAAGGGAGCCUAUAUUAGAUACAGGCUUUUACAUGAUAGAGGUCUAUAUAGGACUGGAUAGAUCCCACCUGCUGCACUAUACAUGUGAUUCAGCAUUUCCCCAGAAUGGCUGGUGAGAGCACGAAACUAUUAAUAUAGUUGCACAGAUUAAUCCUCCAAGGAAAAUUCAUGUCAUCUCAGCAAUGAAAAGGUACUGAAAGUCAUGAUUAUGAAACAUGAUAUUGCCUGGAAAUAAAUGUUUGUGAAAACCUGUAGCCACUUGAUUCAGACUAACUGGAUUAAUGCAAGAAGUGCCUACAGUUUUAGAAAACUUGAGCUAGAGAAAGGUAUUUUCUUUCUUGCUUCAAAAACUGUCGAAAAAUUAGCAGUAUUUAUGACAAAAAAAACCAACCUGUAAGAAUCCCAGAAGACAACAUAAAAUGGCCCGUUUCCCCCAUCACCAAAUGUUCAGGCCAGAGGAGUGUAAAACAUGCAGUUUUGAUGGAAACCUCCAAGAAAAUGCCAUCAUCAGUGUCACCAUGUGAUACACAGCCACAGCAGGGUAUCUGACCUGGAUUUCUUAGGGCAUUAGCGUAUCUUGCCACAUACAGAAACUGGCGAAUCUACAUUAAAUAAGUGUUAGCAGAUCUUUCUGACCAUCCCAGGGAAGGAGUUAUCAGAUUACAUGUGUUAAGAUAUCUUAAGUACAGAAUUAAUAAUGCCAUUAUUGAUCAGAUAGUGAAAUGCAUCGACACAGAUGUUGAUAGUCUUUUGAAAUGUGGGUCCUUGGUGGUGGCACUUGGAGGUAGACAGGGUGAUGUGUGAAAGCUGCCAAAUGUUUAAAGUUUUUCCAACGUCUGUAUCUGUCAAUGGCUUGUAUCUGCAUUUUAGUAAUGAAUAGAUAAUCCAUGAUGUUGCAAAUCCCUCCUGCUCAAGAGCCAAGUACCAUUUGGAAAGAGAAAAGGGGAAAAGAUCAGUUGCCAUGUGUGUAGGUGACCACAGAGGCCUCCGCGUGGCAAAUGACUCGUGUAUCACAGCUCACAGAGCUCCUCACUGUGAGAACAACUUUGCCCCUGCUUACCCCUUGCCUUGUGCACCUUUCUUGCCUAAGCACAAUGUCUCAUCAAAGAGGUUUCUUUCUUCAUGCUCCCAUA